UGGGGAAUAUUGGACAAUGGGCGAAAGCCUGAUCCAGCCAUGCCGCGUGUGUGAAGAAGGUCUUCGGAUUGUAAAGCAUUCUAAGUUGGGAGGAAGGGCAGUAAGCGAAUACCUUGCUGUUUUGACGUUACCGACAGAAUAAGCACCGGCUAACUUUGUGCCAGCAGCCGCGGUAAUACAGAGGGUGCAAGCGUUAAUCGGAAUUACUGGGCGUAAAGCGCGCGUAGGUGGUUCGUUAAGUUGAAUGUGAAAUCCCCGGGCUCAACCUGGGAACUGCAUCCAAAACUGGCGGGCUAGAGUAGGGCAGAGGGUGGUGGAAUUUCCGGUGUAACGGUGAAAAGCGUAGAUAUAGGAAGGAACACAAGUGGCGAAGGCGACCACCUGGGCUCAUACUGACACUGAGGUGCGAAAGCGUGGGGAGCAAACAGG
rnacentral:rRNA from 1 species